UACGUAGGGUGCAAGCGUUGUCCGGAAUUAUUGGGCGUAAAGAGCUCGUAGGUGGUCUGUUACGUCUGCUGUGAAAACCUAGGGCUUAACCCUGGGCCUGCAGUGGAUACGGGCAGACUAGAGGUAGGUAGGGGAGAAUGGAAUUCCCGGUGUAGCGGUGAAAUGCGCAGAUAUCGGGAGGAACACCGGUGGCGAAGGCGGUUCUCUGGGCCUUACCUGACACUGAGGAGCAAAAGCGUGGGGAGCGAACAGG
rnacentral:rRNA from 1 species